rnacentral:misc_RNA from 1 species
UUUCCGUAGGUGAACCUGCGGAAGGAUCAUUGUCGUGACCCUGACCAAAACAGACCGCACACGCGACAUCCAAUCUGCCGAUGAUGGCACCGUCCGUCGCUCGGCCAAGUCCUCGACCGCCUCCCCUCCUCGGAGUGGGGGCUCGGGGUAAAAGAACCCACGGCGCCGAAGGCGUCAAGGAACACGGUGCCUAACCCGGGGGCAUGGCUAGCUUGCUAGUCGUCCCUCGUGUUGCAAAGCUAUUUAAUCCACAUGACUCUCGGCAACAGAUAUCUCGGCUCUC